GCCGCAGCACACUCUCUAAUCGAGCUGUAACACUCGCCACUGCCGUCCACGGCUUCAUUCCUUGAAGCCGUGAGACCACGAACCCUUCGAUUGAGAAGAACCUUCGGUCGGAAGAAGACUUCUCGUCUCAGUAACAAUAACAAGAAAAACAGCCUAGACUAGACGCACAUCAGGAAGACAGUGUCGGCCACAGCCGCAGAAUAAACAUGUGGAGAAGGUCAUUGAUCACCUUGACUGAAGCACUGCAGACAAGAUAAAGACAGCCUGAUGCAGAGGAAGAUUGAGGACUAAGGGGCUUCAUCCACAGUUAAUCCCGUCAUGUAUUGACCCGGAAACAUCAUCUCAUUUGCCUAUAAGACAGAGAGAGAGAAUGAUAGAAAUGCUGGAAGAACGAGCCUUGGGGCGGUAUCGCCCAGAUCUGAAUCCACACAGCAGCUGCUUCGGUCCCUGUAACUCAAGGCUUCCUCUUAAUCCUCUGUCCUCCAUCAACACCUGGCUGAGCAGGAACAACUAUGACCUAGGACCAGGGCCUUCAGGAAUCUUCACCCCUAACUUGAACUUCAUAACACUGGAGAGCAACCUCACAUUGACACGGCAAUGUGAAGUUUUCGAAGUCUCCUUCAUUGGUUGGAUCUCUACGGAUCUGAUGGUCUGGUUCCUGUUUGACAGAUAAGAACCUAGAGCUCUGUGAGGCAAAAGGAUUUCGCAAAAGUCACACAGAUUUAGGACCAGGUCUCUGCAUGCCCAACCCCGAUGUGGCUUCUCUUUC
rnacentral:lncRNA from 1 species